AGCGAACGCUGGCGGCAGGCUUAACACAUGCAAGUCGAACGCCCCGCAAGGGGAGUGGCAGACGGGUGAGUAACACGUGGGAACGUACCCUUUGGUUCGGAAUAACUUGGGGAAACUCAAGCUAAUACCGGAUAAGCCCUUAUGGGGAAAGGUUUACUGCCGAAGGAUCGGCCCGCGUCUGAUUAGCUAGUUGGUGAGGUAAUGGCUCACCAAGGCGACGAUCAGUAGCUGGUCUGAGAGGAUGAUCAGCAACACUGGGACUGAGACACGGCCCAGACUCCUACGGGAGGCAGCGGUGGGGAAUAUUGGACAAUGGGGGCAACCCUGAUCCAGCCAUGCCGCGUGAGUGAUGAAGGCCUUAGGGUUGUAAAGCUCUUUUACCCGGGACGAUAAUGACUGUACCGGGAGAAUAAGCCCCGGCUAACUUCGUGCCAGCAGCCGCAGUAA
rnacentral:rRNA from 1 species